CGGGUGAGUAACACGUGGAUAACCUACCUAUAAGACUGGGAUAACUUCGGGAAACCGGAGCUAAUACCGGAUAACAUGUUGAACCGCAUGGUUCAACAGUGAAAGACGGUCUUGCUGUCACUUAUAGAUGGAUCCGCGCCGCAUUAGCUAGUUGGUAAGGUAACGGCUUACCAAGGCAACGAUGCGUAGCCGACCUGAGAGGGUGAUCGGCCACACUGGAACUGAGACACGGUCCAG
rnacentral:rRNA from 2 species